GAUGAACGCUGGCGGCAUACCUAAUACAUGCAAGUCGAACGGACUACACCAUGACCUUGAAAGUGCUUGCACUAGAUUGUGAUUGGAUUUUGUAGUUAGUGGCGGACGGGUGAGUAACACGUGGGUUACCUGCCUCAUAGUAUGGAAUAACUAUUGGAAACGAUAGCUAAUACCGUAUAUGACCUUCGGGUUGAAAGGAGCGUUUGCUUCGCUAUGAGAUGGGCCUGCGGCGCAUUAGCUAGUUGGUAAGGUAAAGGCUUACCAAGGCGACGAGGCGUAGCCGGACUGAGAGGUCGAGCGGCCACAUUGGGACUGAGACACGGCCCAAACUUCUACGGGAGGCAGCAGUAGGGAAUUUUCCGCAAUGGACGAAAGUCUGACGGAGCAAUGCCGCGUGAGUGAUGAAGGUUUUCGAAUCGUAAAGCUCUGUUGUAAGGGAAGAAUAGCAUUAGCAGGAAAUGGCUAGUGUGUGACGGUACCUUACCAGAAAGCCACGGCUAACUACGUGCCAGCCGCCGCCGUAA
rnacentral:rRNA from 1 species